GCUACCACUUGCAACCGUGCCUCCAUGGUGGCAGCCAAAGAAUUAAUUUGUUCUCCUAUUUGCCCUUGUAAUUAACCUGGCUUCAUAGGUAAGGGGUUCUCUCAACCACAGCACCAGUGAUACAACUUGAAAGUUGAAUCAAGAGGUCAUUUUUAAGCAAAGGUAUCACCUGGGGUGCAAUGAACUAUGAGAUAUGGUGGCAUUUGAAGCAAAAUUUCCUUCUUGGAGAUGGUUUAGUUCCAAGGUUUUCUCAUCAAAAGGAGGACUACUAGGAUGUGGUAACUCUUCUUUCUUCAACAGCAUUUGUAACACCAUAGACAUGGACGGC